GACGAACGCUGGCGGCGUGCUUAACACAUGCAAGUCGAACGGUGAAGCGCCUUCCUUUUUGGUGGGUGUGGAUGAGUGGCGAACGGGUGAGUAACACGUGAGUAACCUGCCCCCUUCUUCUGGAUAACCGCAUGAAAGUGUGGCUAAUACGGGAUAUUCUGGGUCUGUCGCAUGAUGGGUCUGGGAAAGAUAUUGUUUCGGUGGGGGAUGGGCUCGCGGCCUAUCGGCUUGUUGGUGGGGUGAUGGCCUACCAAGGCGGUGACGGGUAGCCGGCCUGAGAGGGUGGCCGGUCACACUGGGACUGAGACACGGCCCAGACUCCUACGGGAGGCAGCAGUGGGGAAUAUUGCACAAUGGGCGCAAGCCUGAUGCAGCGGCGCCGCGUGAGGGAUGGAGGCCUUCGGGUUGUGAACCUCUUUCGCCAGUGAAGCAGGCCUGCCUCGUUUGUGGGUGGGUUGACGGUAGCUGGAUAAGAAGCGCCGGCUAACUACGUG
rnacentral:rRNA from 1 species